UCUGUCCUUUUUUUUAUACACUUGGUUUAUACCAUUCAACCUCUUCCUCUCUCUACCCUCUCUCUUCCCCAAAACCUGCCGACUCCCAUUGCUGCUGCCGUUAUUUUCGUCCUUUGCACAGUACAAAGGACAAAAAUAGCGGCGGAAAGGACUCUUGCGCCGUUCCCAAAUCCCGAGCUUCCGAAUCCUACCCCUCCCAUUCGAAACCCUAGCUCCUUCGAUCAGGGAGAAGGGUUGGUGGCCAUGGCGCUCUACCUCCUCUUUGAGUCAGCACCGACGAGAUCGGCGAAGGGUUGGUGGCCAUGGCGUAAGGCCUCGACGAGAUCGGCCAAAACACCUAAGCCAUGCGCACUUCGUCCUCGACUUCACGCACUUCGGCAAGUCAUCAAAUUCGUCGGCUUCUACGGAAUCGCUUUUUUGUAGACAUCUCCUCCUCCUACCAAAUUAAGUUCGCAGCACUGCAGAAGUCGGCGCCGAGAUCUGCAUGAGGGGGCUGUUGUCAGUGUUGUGUCUGAGGCGGAGGACGCCGACUUCUUCUUCUUCUCCUUCUUCUUCUUCGGGACAUCAUCGCUCCGUACCCAUCUCUUUCCCUCUCCCCAUUUUUCCCCUUCUCUACGCAUUCGAAACUCUUAAUUAAUUAUUAAUCAUUAUUAUUAUUAUUAAUUUUUUCUAUAUUUUUGGGAUUUUAGGAGAAGGGCGAAGCCGCAGCGAACGGUGGUGGUGGUGAGUUAGCCUGAAUGCUCCCUUAUUCUCACUACAGAAUCAGAUUUCUCUUCUCAAUCAAGCCAAGGUAAUAUUGGCCCUCAAUUGUUCGAAGAAAUGCCAAAACAAGUUUUUUAAAAUAUUUUUUAAGAUUUUUCUUUAAUACUCUCUUAUACUCUCUCCUUUUUUUUAUGGACUAUCUCACUCUAGCAGGAUUACCUCUCUGAUAUGAAAAUUUUUCAAGCCUUGGGCUUGCCUAAGAUGAAACAACUAAUUAGCUCUUUGAAUAGUAAUUACUUUUUUUGUUAGUGCCCUCUGAACUACCUGUAAGGUAAGAAUAUUGGCUUCUGAACUACUUGAAACAUCUAAAAUGUUGAUAUAGCAUUUGUACUGCAGUGGCUUCUUUGGUAUUUGCAGUUUGGUGGUAAGUAGGUGAUAUUGUAAAUUAUUUACAGAUAAUCGUGGUAAGCUAAUUGAUGUUUUCUUAGAACAUCUUGACUUGCAUUUUUAGCAACCAUUACUGAAAUGUGUUUAUCAUUGGCAUGUAUUUGUAUUGCAUAUAUUCAAUAUUGCUGAGAAGAAAGAUUCAUCGGAAGUUGUUGUAAUUCUAGCAAAGUUUUACUUUGAACAUAUAGAUUGUGCGCAUGAAAUAUGACUAAUGAGAUUAAAAAUCUUGCCUCAACAGAUAUCCGCCGGAAAUCGAUAUCGCUGAGGAAUUGAAGUCAAAAACAAGUUUAAUGCUAUUGACUUUCGCCACACCAUUUUUCCCUUACCAUUUGCUGUGAUUUACUGUACUAAUUGGUUUAUAAUAAUUGUAGGGAAAGUUGAAAUAACCUCUGCCCAAGGUAUGCGUUUGGUCGUCUACACUGUACUAAGUUCUAAUAUUUAUUAGUGUAGUUUUUUGCUUUUUUUCCUUUGGGUUUGUGGGUUGGAUUUGAAUGUGUGGUGUAAUAGUGGGCUCCUGCAUUUGGUUGCACUACACUUACAUUUGAGCGAUUUGACCUCCUUCAGUCAAUGCUUUUAACUUUAUCAAAUAAUAUGAUUAAUUUCAAAUUUAAGACAAACGUACUUCAUACAACCAUUGAGUUUUCUUUGUAAAUUUGAUCAGUUAAAUAAUUUUACCCCACUGAGUUUUAUGCAGGUGUACCAACAGGAUGGCCAUGAAAUAGAAAAACAUAUAGGUUUAACUCUUCCCAAACAUACUGAGAGUGACAUAUUUGGAGAAGCAUCUCUACCAAUGAUUACUCACUCCAGGAUUUCUAAAGAUUAGACAGGACUAUCUCCAAGUGUGGAGGAACCAAGUAAAAAAUGACUUGGGCUCACAGAAGAUGAUGGACAACCAGCAGCAACAAAUAAUUAGGCUACUCUACAUAUUAAUCAUGCAUUUUUUUGGAAUUUCAACUCGAAUUGAUGCGAUUGCCAUAUGGACAAUUGAUAUCUGUAUUAAUCAUGCAUGUUUUUUGAAUUUGGUGGUAAAAUAAUGACACUAUUUUGUUAAGACUUACAACUUUAAAAAAUAUCUAAUGUAUGUAAGAAUUUUUAUUUCAGCGAAUAUUUUUUUUUAUUA